GGUUAAGCGACUAAGCGUACACGGUGGAUGCCCUGGCAGUCAGAGGCGAUGAAGGGCGUGCUAAUCUGCGAUAAGCGCCGGUAAGGUGAUAUGAACCGUUAUAACCGGCGAUACCCGAAUGGGGAAACCCAGUGUGAUUCGUCACACUAUCAUUAACUGAAUCCAUAGGUUAAUGAGGCGAACCGGGGGAACUGAAACAUCUAAGUACCCCGAGGAAAAGAAAUCAACCGAGAUUCCCCCAGUAGCGGCGAGCGAACGGGGAGGAGCCCAGAGCCUGAAUCAGCAUGUGUGUUAGUGGAAGCGUCUGGAAAGGCGCGCGAUACAGGGUGACAGCCCCGUACACAAAAGCGCAUGUGCUGUGAGCUCGAUGAGUAGGGCGGGACACGUGGUAUCCUGUCUGAAUAUGGGGGGACCAUCCUCCAAGGCUAAAUACUCCUGACUGACCGAUAGUGAACCAGUACCGUGAGGGAAAGGCGAAAAGAACCCCGGCGAGGGGAGUGAAAAAGAACCUGAAACCGUGUACGUACAAGCAGUGGGAGCACCCUUUGGGUGUGACUGCGUACCUUUUGUAUAAUGGGUCAGCGACUUAUAUUCUGUAGCAAGGUUAACCGAAUAGGGGAGCCGGAGGGAAACCGAGUCUUAACCGGGCGUUAAGUUGCAGGGUAUAGACCCGAAACCCGGUGAUCUAGCCAUGGGCAGGUUGAAGGUUGGGUAACACUAACUGGAGGACCGAACCGACUAAUGUUGAAAAAUUAGCGGAUGACCUGUGGCUGGGGGUGAAAGGCCAAUCAAACCGGGAGAUAGCUGGUUCUCCCCGAAAGCUAUUUAGGUAGCGCCUCGUGAAUUCAUCUCCGGGGGUAGAGCACUGUUUCGGCUAGGGGGCCAUCCCGGCUUACCAACCCGAUGCAAACUGCGAAUACCGGAGAAUGUUAUCACGGGAGACACACGGCGGGUGCUAACGUCCGUCGUGAAGAGGGAAACAACCCAGACCGCCAGCUAAGGUCCCAAAGUCAUGGUUAAGUGGGAAACGAUGUGGGAAGGCCCAGACAGCCAGGAUGUUGGCUUAGAAGCAGCCAUCAUUUAAAGAAAGCGUAAUAGCUCACUGGUCGAGUCGGCCUGCGCGGAAGAUGUAACGGGGCUAAACCAUGCACCGAAG
rnacentral:rRNA from 1 species